CAAAACACAAUCGAGAAUGCCAACCAAACCAUGGGGGGCCACAAUUGAAUAUUAUACUUUCCCAACUAUAAAAUGUAAGACAAUAAACCACAAAAGCUAACUUUCGUUCAGAUUAACCUCCACUCAACACGUGCUUCAGCGUUGCGCUUCCAACUACAGACGGUCUCACACCUCGUGCUUCAACCUUUUCCAAACACACAUGCACUGGUAAUUCACCCACCAACACUCGCGCAUUCAC
rnacentral:lncRNA from 1 species